UAAUGGCAGGUCAGCAUACUGCCGUGAAUACGUUCCCGGGGCCCUUGUACACACCGCCCGUCACACCAUGAGAGUUGGAAAUACCCGAAGCCUGUGAGCUAACUUUUAGAGGCAGCAGUCGAAGGUAGAGCCAAUGAUUGGGGUGAAGUCGUAACAAGGUAUC
rnacentral:rRNA from 1 species